AGCAGUCGCCACGGGAAUACGGAGGGUGCAAGCGUUAAUCGGAAUUACUGGGCGUAAAGCGCACGCAGGCGGUCUGACAAGUCAGAUGUGAAAUCCCCGGGCUUAACCUGGGAACUGCAUUUGAAACUGUCAGGCUGGAGUCUUGUAGAGGGGGGUGGAAUUCCAGGUGUAGCGGUGAAAUGCGUAGAGAUCUGGAGGAAUACCGGUGGCGAAGGCGGCCCCCUGGACAAAGACUGACGCUCAGGUGCGAAAGCGUGGGGAGCAAACAGGAUUAGAUACCCCUGUAGUCCCUGUCUCUUAUCU
rnacentral:rRNA from 1 species